rnacentral:misc_RNA from 1 species
UCGAAUAAUAGUCUCGCGUAUUGUGGAGAAUUAAGUUGCAGGCCGUAGCAGCAGCUCACUCUAGUAACGCGGACUAACUAGAAAACAUUGAGUUGGCCAAACGGCGUUGGUCUAAAAAAGUGUGUAUAGAUACUUGAAAAAGUGCAAAAGAAGAAGUGAAGUAAUUUUUCUUUUCUUUCAUUGACUUGUGUGUAAUUUAAUUGUAUUUCUAUAUACAUACAUAUUUUUUUAAUGGAAUUGCUUAAAAUGCAUUAGUGAAUUUUACUAAAAUUUAGUUGGAGACUUUACAAAAAGAUUGUGCAAAAGUUUUUUUUUUUAAUUUCUACGAAAUAUUACGCAUAUAAAAAAUUCUGCUAAACAUUAAAAAAUCAACUAACAAUUUCAAACGUAACUGACAACCCGUUUUAUUCACCACAACAACAACCUCCACACUCAAAUAUCUCAACUAAGUUUUGCUCCAAAUUGAGCCACUAAAAAUGGAACGAAAAAAACGUAAACUCGAUUACUCAACCAGCAAAGAGUAAAACUACCGAGCCAAGCCUUCCAAUGAAAGCUCCCAUAAAAAGCACACAUUUGGUAAGAGCAAAUACAUGAGCAGCCAACCAACAACAAUAACAACGAAUAAACAAACAAAUAUACGUCCGAUGCCGAGCCUCCCACCCAAAAAUAGACGUGCAAAAGUCAAGUAAAACAAGAAGCGUGUGAGAGAGUACACACCUGCAUGCGCCACAUCAGCUGCGCCGUAAAGUAUGCCAUAAUCGCAUACUUACACGUAUAUUGCAUGCCAACUACCAACCAGCUAGCUAACGGCAUUACUGAGCACUUUUGCAAGCGGCACUACAAUUUGAGUACGCGAACCGUGUGGAACAACUAAACGGGCAAGCCGCGCAUAGCAGCGUGCUGAAGAAAAAAAAUUUUGCAAGUUGCAAUAAAUAGUGCAAAAUAGAAAAUAGAGGAAGCAUAAGAUCUAAAGUAGAAAACACAAAGUGAAAAAAAAGAAAUAAAAAAUAAUGUAUAAAUAAAAUAAUUUGCAAACAUUGUGAUGUAAAGUGGCAAACAAUUGCUAAAAAUAACAGCGAUUUUUUUUUCUAGGUUUGCAUAACGCCUAAAAGUGUACUAAGCACAAUUUGUGACAAGAAAAAAAAAAGAAGAAACAAAAGAAAAAAAUGAUUUAAAGAAUAAGUCCAGCAGAAUUUGUGAAAAGAAAGCUUGGUUAAAGUAAAGUGAAUUUUUCUUUCCUUGCUGCGUAAAUUUGUGUGCUUAAGUGUGUGUGUGUGUGUGUGUGUAUGUGCUUGCACUCUUGCCAGUGUAGCGCAGCAACGUAGUUGACGACUGGCGGCCAGUAAACGCCGUCGCGGAACACGCAACACAACGUGAGAAGAAAAGCAUACACACGCGUAAGAAAACAUACAAAAUAAGCACUG